rnacentral:rRNA from 1 species
GAUGAACGCUGGCGGCGUGCCUAAUACAUGCAAGUCGAGCGAACGGACGAGAAGCUUGCUUCUCUGAUGUUAGCGGCGGACGGGUGAGUAACACGUGGAUCACCUACCUAUAAGACUGGGAUAACUUCGGGAAACCGGAGCUAAUACCGGAUACUAUUUUGAACCGCAUGGUUCAAAAGUGAAAGACGGUCUUGCUGUCACUUAUAGAUGGAUCCGCGCUGCAUUAGCUAGUUGGUAAGGUAACGGCUUACCAAGGCAACGAUGCAUAGCCGACCUGAGAGGGUGAUCGGCCACACUGGAACUGAGACACGGUCCAGACUCCUACGGGAGGCAGCAGUGGGGAAUCUUCCGCAAUGGGCGAAAGCCUGACGGAGCAACGCCGCGUGAGUGAUGAAGGUCUUCGGAUCGUAAAACUCUGUUAUUAGGGAAGAACAGAUGUGUAAGUAACUGUGGAGAUCUUGACGGUACCUAAUCAGAAAGCCACGGCUAACUACGUG